CAGAAAUUCAGUCCUAAAUGUAAAAAUUUUUCUGAGAGUGUCAAUCAAUCACAAAAAGCUUUAUUAUAAUUAUUAUACGUAUAAUCCGCCGACAUCCCCCCAAACGUCAGAUGUUUUGCUACGUCCUUGAUGGUUGUAUUCUAAACCGAUUUCAGUUUUAAGAUAUCCUUAGUCUGCUCUUCUAAAUGGGUACGGUACAUGAAAUCAC
rnacentral:lncRNA from 1 species